rnacentral:rRNA from 1 species
GACGAACGCUGGCGGCGUGCUUAACACAUGCAAGUCGAACGGAAAGGCCCUGCUUUUGUGGGGUUCUCGAGUGGCGAACGGGUGAGUAACACGUGAGUAACCUGCCCUUGACUUUGUGAUAACUUCAGGAAACUGGGGCUAAUACCGGAUAGGAGCUCCUGCUGCAUGGUGGUGGUUGGAAAGUUUCGGCGGUUGGGGAUGGACUCGCGGCUUAUCAGCUUGUUGGUGGGGUAGUGGCUUACCAAGGCUUUGACGGGUAGCCGGCCUGAGAGGGUGACCGGCGACAUUGGGACUGAGAUACGGCCCAGACUCAUACGGGAGGCAGCAGGGGGGAAUAUUGCACAAUGGGCGGAAGCCUGAUGCGGCAACGCCGCGUGCGGGAUGACGGCCUUCGGGUUGUAAACCGCUUUCGCCUGUGACGAAGCGUGAGUGACGGUAAUGGGUAAAGAAGCACCGGCUAACUACGUG